rnacentral:rRNA from 1 species
GACGAACCGUGCAAACGUUAUUCGGAAUCACUGGGCAUAAAGGGCGCGUAGGCGGCUUUCUAAGUCAGGGGUGAAAUCCGGCAGCUCAACUGCAGGGCUGCCUCCUAGACUGUCGGGCUUGAGCACGGUAGAGGCAGAUGGAAUUCCCGGUGUAGCGGUGGAAUGCGUAGAGAUCGGGAAGAACAUCGGUGGCGAAGGCGGCCUGCUGGCUCUUGCUGACACUGAGGCGCGACAGCGUGGGGAGCAAACAGG